GCGCCCGUAGCUCAGCUGGAUAGAGCGUCUGACUUCGAAUCAGCAGGUCGGGGGUUCGAAUCCCUCCGGGCGUA
rnacentral:tRNA from 1 species